GACAGAGGGUGCAAACGUUGUUCGGAAUCACUGGGCGUAAAGGGUGCGUAGGCGGGUUUUUAAGUCAGGGGUGAAAUCCUGGAGCUCAACUCCAGAACUGCCUUUGAUACUGAAGAUCUUGAGUCCGGGAGAGGUGAGUGGAACUGCGAGUGUAGAGGUGAAAUUCGUAGAUAUUCGCAAGAACACCAGUGGCGAAGGCGGCUCACUGGCCCGGUACUGACGCUGAGGCACGAAAGCGUGGGGAGCAAACAGG
rnacentral:rRNA from 1 species